UGGGGGAUAUUGCACAAUGGGCGAAAGCCUGAUGCAGCGACGCCGCGUGAGGGAAGACGGUUUUCGGAUUGUAAACCUCUGUCGAGGGGGACGAAGGAAGUGACGGUACCCCUUGAGGAAGCCACGGCUAACUACGUGCCAGCAGCCGCGGUAAUACGUAGGUGGCAAGCGUUGUCCGGAAUUACUGGGUGUAAAGGGAGCGUAGGCGGGGAUGCAAGUUGAAAUGUAUAAAACGGCCGGCUCAACCGGCCGAAGCGUUCAAAAACUGCAUUUCUUGAGUGGAGUAGAGGCAGGCGGAAUUCCUAAGUGUAGCGGUGAAAAUGCGUAGAUAUUAGGAGGAACACCAGUGGCGAAGGCGGCCUGCUGGGCUCUAACUGACGCUGAGGCUCGAAAAGCGUGGGUAGCAAAACAGGAUUAGAUACCC
rnacentral:rRNA from 1 species